rnacentral:lncRNA from 1 species
GGCGGGGGGCGGCCGUGUUCUCCCUCAGUGCCUCACUGCAGCUGGGAAAGAGAGAGUCUUAGGGGUGGGCGAAGCGCAGCGGAGAACGGCGGGGAGGAUUUCUAAUGAGGCAGUAGCUCUGGCUGUUCCGCGGCCGAGAAUACUCCCUUCCAGACACCUGUUUGAAGGCCAUACAUUUGACUUGGAAAAGGUGCUGCAAAUUUGUGGAGAAAGUAAAACUGGAAACACUUUAAGUUUUACAUGCAAUAGAUCUGUAUGAUGAAAUCUCUGUUAAAGUGAAAUGGGUGAUUGCUUGAAAAGAACAUAUGAAGCAG